ACACAUGCAGUCGAGCGGAGCAGUAGCAAUACUGCUUAGCGGCGGACGGGUGAGUAACACGUGGGCAACCUGCCUUAUACAGGGGGAUAGCCACCCGAAAGGGUGAUUAAUACCGCAUAACCCAGUGGUAUCGCAUGAUACUAUUGGCAAAGGAGCAAUCCGGUAUAAGAUGGGCCCGCGCCCCAUUAGCCAGUUGGUGAGGUAGAAGCUCACCAAGGCGACGAUGGGUAGCCGAUCUGAGAGGAUGAACGGCCACAUUGGAACUGAGACACGGUCCAGACUCCUACGGGAGGCAGCAGUGGGGAAUAUUGCGCAAUGGGGGAAACCCUGACGCAGCAACGCCGCGUGAGCGAUGAAGGCCUUCGGGUCGUAAAGCUCUUUAACCAGGGAUGAUAAUGACAGUACCUGGGGAAUAAGCCACGGCUAACUACGUGCCAGCAGCCGCGGUAAUACGUAGGUGGCGAGCGUUGUCCGGAAUUACUGGGCGUAAAGGGUGCGUAGGCGGAUAUUUAAGUCAGAUGUGAAAUCCCAGGGCUCAACCUUGGAGUGGCAUUUGAAACUGGAUAUCUAGAGUGCAGGAGAGGAAAGCGGAAUUCCUAGUGUAGCGGUGAAAUGCGUAGAUAUUAGGAAGAACACCAGUGGCGAAGGCGGCUUUCUGGACUGUAACUGACGCUGAGGCACGAAAGCGUGGGGAGCAAACAGGAUUAGAUACCCUGGUAGUCCACGCUGUAAACGAUGAGUGCUAGGUGUAGGAGGUAUCGACUCCUUCUGUGCCGCAGUAAACGCAAUAAGCACUCCGCCUGGGGAGUACGGUCGCAAGACUAAAACUCAAAGGAAUUGACGGGGGCCCGCACAAGCAGCGGAGCAUGUGGUUUAAUUCGAAGCAACGCGAAGAACCUUACCAGGACUUGACAUCCAAAGAAUCCACAAGAGAUUGAGGAGUGCCUUUCGGGGAACUUUGAGACAGGUGGUGCAUGGUUGUCGUCAGCUCGUGUCGUGAGAUGUUGGGUUAAGUCCCGCAACGAGCGCAACCCUUGUCAUUAGUUGCUAACAGUAAGAUGAGCACUCUAAUGAGACUGCCGGGGACAACUCGGAGGAAGGUGGGGAUGACGUCAAAUCAUCAUGCCCCUUAUGUCCUGGGCUACACACGUGCUACAAUGGCUAGAACAAUGAGAUGCAAUACCGCAAGGAGGAGCAAAUCUAUAAAACUAGUCCCAGUUCGGAUUGAUGGCUGCAACCCGCCAUCAUGAAGCCGGAGUUGCUAGUAAUCGCGAAUCAGAAUGUCGCGGUGAAUACGUUCCCGGGCCUUGUACACACCGCCCGUCACACCAUGAGAGUCUGCAACACCCGAAGCCUGUGAGGUAACUAGAAAUAGAGCCAGC
rnacentral:rRNA from 1 species